rnacentral:lncRNA from 10 species
UGGGUGCAGGCCCUAUGGAGAGGAUAUUUCCUGUCAUAGCUGAGGUGUGAAUCGGUCUUAUGUUCCCUGUCUCCAGGCCUUGUUUUCCUGCCUCACUAGCACCAGGCACACAGUCACACAAGGUGGAAAAUGGACUCCGUGUGCCUCCAAGGUGAACACCCUGGCUCUCAGGAGCAGAGACCUAGUGGCAUCCCAGGGAGAGUGGAGAGACAGGGAGAGAAAUGUUCUGGCUGGUCCAGAGGGCGAAACAGCAGAGACUGUUCUGUCAGAGGCAUGUGAACCAGAGCAACUCCAUCUUGAUUAGGAGCUGGGUAAGAUGAGGCUGAGACUUGCUGGGCUGCAUCCCCGGACGGUUAAGGCAUUCUAAGUCACAGGAUGACAUAGGAGGUCGGCAAUAGCUACAGGUCAUAAAGACCUUGCUGAUAAAACAGUUUGGAGUAAAGAAGCCGGACAAAGCCCUCCAAAACCAAGAUGGUGUCGAGAGUGACCUCUGGUCGUCCUCAGCGCUACACUCCCACCAAGGUCCUGACAGUUUACAGAUCCAUGGCAAGCAGUUCAGGUGUCAGAAGGGAGACCUGGAAGAGUCUCCUCCUGGCCAUAAAGACACCUGGCAGCAAUGAAGAAUCUGGUGUGGACGCCUGUGGAGCCUCUGUACUCACUGCUUUCUUGCUGCUGAUGUGGAAUCCCCACCAGUAGAUCCCUCCUGGAUGCUGUUGCAGGAAAUCGGGAAGCUGGAGAGAUGGAACGGGGUGAAGGAGAGUUUAUUUAAGGUGUACACCGGCUCAGCAGACAUGCGUCCUGAAAGUCUGAGCACCAGACAAAGAAGGCAGUUGCCUUUUUUUUUUUUUUUGAGACGGAGUCUCACUCUGUUGCCCAGGCUGGAGUGCAGUGGUGCGAUCUUGGCUCACUGCAAGCCCUGCCUCCCGGGUUCACGCCAUUCUCGUGCCUCAGCCUCCCGAGUAGCUGGGACUACAGGCGCCUGCCACCACGCCCAGCUAAUUUUUUUGUAUUUUUAGUAGAGACAGGGUUUCACUGUGUUAGCCAGGAUGUUCUCGAUCUCCUGACCUGGUGAUCUGCCCGUCUUGGCCUCCCAAAGUGCUGGGAUUACAGGCGUCAGCCACCGUGCCUGGCCUAAUUUUUCUACUUCAUGCAAGUUCCACAACUUUCAUCCUAAGAUCUCCAACUUUAUUUGAGCAUUAAAGAAAAAAAAAAAUUCCAGGGCCAAGCACAGUGGCUCAUGCCUGUAAUCCCAGCACUUUGGGAGGCUGAGGUGGGCAGAUCACGAGGUCAGGAGUUCAAGACCAGCCUGGCCAAGAUGGUGAAACCCUGUCUCUACUAAAACUACAAAAAUUAGCCAGGUGUGGUGGCAGGUGCCUGUAAUCCCAGCUGCUCGGGAGGCUGAAGCAGGAGAAUCGCUUGAACUCGGGGGGCGGAGGUUGCAGUGAGCCGAGAUCGUGCCAUUGCACUCCAGCCUGGGCGACAGAGUGAUACUCAGUCUCAAAAAAAAAAAAAAAAAUCCAGACUAGAUCUAGCGUCAAACUGGAUCUAUCAGAAACUGAACUGGGCCUAGUAGGCAUCUUCACAUAGGUAAGGGUUUGGGAAGACAGAAUAAUGAGUUUAUCUGAAUCCACAGAGUCUGAGAUUCCUCCACCUGAGAACCAGUACUUGUCUAGAGAAACUGGUGAACUUUACCAAAGACACCUUAGAAUUAAGUGGUGGCCGCAGUGGGUAAGUGAUGACCUAGACAAAGCUGUUCAUCUGUGGUAUCCACUGCAAAAGAUGGGAUCCAAAGCAACUAAGAGAAAAUGGAAUGCAUUUUUUAAUUCACAUGUUGUUUUUGACACAGAGUCUCACUCUGUCACCCAGGCUGGAGUGCAGUAGUGUGAUCUCGGCUCACUGCAACCUCCACCUCCUGGGUUCAAGUGAUUCUCCUGCCUCAGCCUCCUGAGUAGCUGGGACUACAGGCAUGCACCACCAAGCCCAGCUAAUUUUUUGUAUUUUUAGUAGAGAUGGGUUUUCGCCAUGUUGCCGGGCUGGUCUCGAACUCCUGAGCUCAAGUGAUCCAUCUGCCUCAGCCUCCCAAAGUGCUGGGAUUACAGGCGAGAACCUCCAUGCCCAGAUGAUUUUUUGAUUGGCAUGCACAGGCUGCUAAAAGACUAAAUGAAUCCCAAGUUGUCUCUCUAAAAGACUCCAUAGAAAAAGGCAAAUAGAAAACCAAAGCAGUUAAUUGACAAUGAAAAAGGGCAUGUCUACUGACUCAGCACAGAUGAGCCCUUCUCUCUUUCUCUCCAUCUUGCUCUGCCAGAUUGCUCUGAACUACUCACUUUUUUGCUCAGUAACUUUUAUACCCCAGAGGCAAAAAGAAAGUUAGCCAAACUUUCAUCGUGUUAGGCCUUUAGAUCAACCAGGCCUUCCUUCUUUAACCACAUUGACAUCUUGAUUAAAAUCUGAGCUCAGAACAAUAGUGAAAGGUUUCCCUGUCCCAGAAAUUUGCUGAUGAUGUAGAAUUAUAUCCUGGCCUAUUCAUGCUAACUCCAGGCAUGGAAAAUGCUUGCCAGUUCAUCAGUAGGCGCCACCCUGAACUCAGUGAUGGAGUUAAAAAGCAUAAACUGGGCUGAGAAGCCUCUGAUCUAGCCAACGUAGGCCCCAAAUGUGCUACUCUGGCAUAAAGAUUAUUUUGAUCCAAUUCUUUUGAGACCCUUUGUAAGAAAAAUUUAAUUCUAUAAAGGAGAUAGAAGUGGUGGCUCAUGCCUAUAAUGCCAGCACUUUGGGAGGCUGAGGGAGGAGGGUUGCUUGAGCCCAGGAGUUCAAGACCAGCCUGGGUGACAUAGUAAGAGUCGGUGUAUUAGUCCCUUCUCUCAUUGCUGUAAAGAACUAUCUGAGUCUGGGUAAUUUAUACAGAAAAGAGGUUUAGGCUGGGUGUGGUGGCUCAUGCCUUAAUCACAGCACUUUGGGAGGCUGAGGCAGGUUGAGGUCAGGAGUUUGAGACCAGCCUGGCCAACAUGGUGAAACCCCAUCUCUACUAAAAAUACAAAAAUUAGCCAGGUAUGGUGGCGUGCACCUGUAAUCCCAGCUACUCAGCUGGCUAAGGCAGGACAAUUGCUUCAGUCUGGGAGGUGGACGUUGUAGUGAGCUGAGAUCGCGCCACUGCACUCCAGCCUGGGUGACACAGCAAGACUGUGUCUCAAAAAAAAAAAAGGCAAAAGAAAAGAGGACACAUGGCUGGGGAGGCCUCAGGAAAGUUACAAUCAUGGCAGAAGGUGAAGAGGAAGGGGGCACGUCUUGCAUGGCUGGAGCAGGAGGAAGAGACAGAAGGGGGAGGUGCCACACACUUUUAAACAACCAGAUCUCAUGAGAACUCACUAUCCUGAGAACAGCAAGGGGUAAGUCUGCCCCCAUGAUCCAAUCACCUCCCACCAGGCUCCUCCUCCAACACUGAGGAUUACAAUUUGACAUGAGAUUUGGGUGGGGACACAAAUCCAAACCCUCUCACCCCAUCUUUACAAAGAAAUUUAACCAACAGUUUGAGGUUGCAGUGAGCUAUGAUCGCACCACUGCACUCCAGCCGGGUUGUAAAAUAAGACUCUGUCUCAAAACAAAACAAAACAAAACAAAGUAAACAACAAAAAAAAAGAAUGGAGAAAGCAUUGAUUUAAAUCUACAUCACAAAACUUACCUUUACUUAGCGUGCAUUUCUGACCCCCAUCUUGGCUUAAUUAGCGCUUUGCUUGCUUUCUCUCUCUUUUUUCUUUUCUUUUCUUUCCUUUCCUUUUCCUUCCUUCCUUUCUUUCUCAUUCCUUCCUUCUUCCCUUCCCUUUCCUUCCUUUCUUCCUUCCCUCCUUCCUCCUCUUUCCUUUUCCUUCCUUCCUUUUCUUUUUCUUUCUUUCUUUUUUCUUUCUUUCCUUCCUUCCUUCUUUCCUUGUUCUUGCUUUUUUCUUUCUUCUUUCCUUCCCUUCCCUUCCCUUCCCUCCCUUCCUUCCUUCUUUCUUUCCUUGUUCUUGCUUGCUUGCUUUUUUCUUUCUUUCCUUUCCUUCCCUUCCCUUCCCAUCCCUUCCCCUUCCUUCCUUCCUUCCUUCUUUCUCCUUCUCUUUUUUUCUCUUCCUUUCUUUCUUUUCUCUUUCUCUUUCUUUUUUUCAUUUCUUUCUUUUUUUCUCUUCUUCAAAUGAAGAUAUUUAAGGCUGAAGUCUAAGUUCUGUGCCUUUGAGAUGUAAAUUUUCUACUCUGCUCAAACACCUGAGGGUUAUCUCUUUGAUAUGCAAAUUUUGGGAAGCCAUCUUAUGAGAAAAGAAAAAAAAAGAGCUAUAUGGAAAUUGGGCAAAUGAAAAACCUUAAGUCUUUCCCGCAAAUAUUAAUAAAAGCUUUAAUCAUCUGGCAAGUAAUUUUGACUUGUUCCAUGUGCCAGAAACAAGAUUUGAAGCCUAUUGUUCUUGUAUUAAACAGUGUGUUUUGUAUUACUGUGCUUGGCAUGUGGCUAAGAUUUUAGAAUGAAGCUGUAACACUCUAGUGUCUGAAGAGUGUGAAAAAAAAAAAGAAAGCUAUAUGAUCUGCUUCUGUCUGUAUGUUUAUGUAUGUCUAUGUAUACAUGUACACGUGACAUUUUCCUACUCUAGAUUGCGUUGCCAAAAUUAAUUUAUAAAAAAGUGGUAUUUAAUUGGCUUAAAGAAAAAUAUGAGCUUAUAUAAGUUGAGUUAUCCUUAAACUCUUAGAAAUAUAGAAACUAACCCAAAUGUUUUUUAAAUUUCAUGUCAUCUGAGAUUAUAGUUGGUAAAUAAAUGCUAUUUAAACUUUUCUGGUUUAAUGAAAUAUUUAGAGUUGUCAGCAUUAAAUAAAACGCAGACACACAACUUUGGUUUUACCUAGGUUUAUUAGGCAAAAACUUAUGUUAUCUCUGUUACAAGAGUUGCCACCAAGAAAAGCAAUUUGAUGAUGUCUAGCCUUGUCUGCUGUUAUGAAACAUCUACUUAAAAGCAGCUUGCCGAUUCUCUUUGGUAGCUUGCACUGUUAGAGUCAAGUUAAAUUAAAUGAUGGUUAUUCAUCGACUAUCUAGAAAGAUAUUUUUUAAACCUUAUUUUUUUUGAAUAACAUAAAAUACUGAAACUUUGAUUGCUAAACAUAAGCUUGUCUACUUUUGGCUUCUUAUUAUAGAAGUACUAAACAUACUUGUCUCUGCCAGCAAACACAUCCUGUGCCAUAUUGAAAAAUUGUAUGAUAAAGAAACACACACUUCUAGAAAUUAUGACAUGGUAUAUUCACAGAUUUGCCAAUCUGCAGAAUGUUGGUAUGUAUGCAAAAAGUUGACAAGUGUUUACUUGCUAGUUUUCACUAGAAACCAAGGUUAAUAGCUGGUGUGGUGGCUCAUGCUUGUAAUCCCAACACUUUGGGAGGCUGAGGUGGGAGGAUCACUUGAGCCAAGAGUUCCAGACCAGCCCAUCUCUACCAAAAAUAAAAAUUAGCUGGGCUGGGUGUGGUAGCUCACGCCUGUAAUCAUAGCACUUUGGGA